AGACGUCAACGCAGCCGAAGACAUGGCUCCAGAAGCGGACCCAAAGGAAAGCGCAACGGGAACCGGCUCCCACCGACUGAAGCCUGUGCUGAGCGGGAGCGCUUUGUGGUCCGGUGAGAGCGGGAAGGCCUGGAAUGGAAGGGUCGGCCACAGUGGAAACUCAGAAGCCUGAGGAUUCUUUGGAGUGUCAGAAACGUUCUGAAUCUGUUAAGAGAGGAUAGUUUCAACAAUCGGUGUGUGAGCUACAACCCGAGGUACACUAGUAAAGUCAGAAUUCUACAUGUGGAUAACGUGUUUGUUUUUUUUUUUUAAAUUAAGUCAGAGCCCGGCUUAAUGGCUCAUGCCUUUAAUCCCCUCACUCUGGGAGGCAGAGGUAGGCAGAUCUCUAAAGAGUUCAAUCCAUCCUGGUCUACAGAGCGAGUUCCAGGACAGCUAGGGUUACACAGAGAAACCCUGUCUAAAAACAAAAAAACAAAUGGCAUGACAGUGAGCUCCUGUAAUCCACUCAGGAAGCAGAAGCAGGUGGGUCUCUGAAUUUUUGCAAAGCCCCCCAGACAUUAGCCCAACUGACCGCAUGUUAGAGGUGCCAUUCUGACCUUAAACCCAACACAUAGGACUCAACACCUGCCAAAAAGGGUAAAAAGACCUAAAACAUCAAAGACCUGGCCCCAGUGCCAGGAUCCAGGAAAGCACCUAAAUGUGCUCACCUUGCCUUUUGGCUUCUGUAGUUCUGCUUCUUGCUAAAUUGUUCUUGCUAACUGAAGUGUGUCAACUAGGAUCCAGUUUUUUUGUUUGUUUGUUUGUUUUUGUUUUUUUGAGCUGAGGAUUGAACCCAGGGCCUUGUGCUUGCUAGGCAAGCACUCUACCACUGAGCUAAAUCCCCAACCCCAGGAUUCGGUUUUAUGCAUAAAAGACAAAGAACUGUGAGGAUCAGGGCUGCAUGAUUUGGGCAAAUUCCCUGUGUGGCCUCAGGCCAGUAAUACAGACUAUCUAUUCGGCUUUAGGGUUGUCUGUGUGUUGUUUUCUGAUGGAUAGAUCUUGAAACAAAUUCAAGUCCAGUCUGGUCUAUACAGGAAGUUCCAAGCUACAAAGUGAGACCCUGACCAAAAAAAAAACCUAACAUAACUCUCCCUCUCUCUCUCUCUCUCUCUCUCUCUCUCUCUCUCUAUAUAUAUAUAUAUAUAUAUAUAUAUAUAUAUACACACACACACACACACACACACACACACACACACACACACACACACACAUAUAUAUAUAUAAACUGGUUUUUGGUGGGUGGUUAGUUUUUUGUUUGUUUCUCGAAACAGGGUUUCUCUGUUUGGUAUUGGCUCUCCUGGAACUCACUCUGUAGACCAGGCUGGCAUUGAAUUCACAGAGAUCCUCCUGCCUCUGCCUUCUGAGUGCUGGGGAAUUAAAGGCAUAUGCCACCACACAUUAACUAUGUAUAUUUUUUAUAACAGCCAUAUCUCAGUCAAUCAUAAGCAUUUUCCAGUUGUUCAGACCAUGUCCAAAUAAGGCAACUGCUUGCCUGUCACUAUUUAUGUACUUUCUUUCAAUUGUUCGGUCUAUAAAUAUUGUUGAGUUCUCUGAGCCUCUUUUGAUUAUGAAUGAUACCUGGCUUGUGAAUCAUUCCUCGUGUGGAGGUGCACACCUUUGAUCCCAGCUCUUGAGAAGCAGAGGCACGUGGAUCUCUGUGAGUUUGGGGCCAGCGUGGUCUAUAUAGUGAGUUCCAGAACAGCCAGAGCUAUGUAGAGAGACCCUGUCUCAAAAAAAAGAAAGAAAGAAAGAAAGAAAGAAAUACACUGUUCGAUGAACUGAUCUGGUGUUCUUCUCAGCAUAGUCUGUGGGCUGUUCUUGAAGAGUCUGUGUUUGUCAGCUAGCCUACUCACAUUUACUUGUAACUCCAAAAUCAACACUUCAGGUUGAUAGAACAGCUUUACAAAAUAAAAAUCUAUGCAGAAACCAUAAAUGAAAAUUGAUAAAGAUUAGAUCUGGAAACUCCCCAGAUCUAAUGGUUGGGGAAGGGUUUUGUUUUUGUCUUUCAGGAAAAUAAAAACAUCCAGCUAAGGAAUCUGAAGAACACUGGACAAAUGAGACAUCUGAAGAAAAAGGACAAAUCAUCCAGAAAAAAUGUCCCACAAAAAAAGGUUUUCUGCAGUGAACCAUGACCAUAACUAACAGCGACCUUUGAAGUCUCCAAAAAGAUGAUGGGACCCCACAACAAUGAUUCCACAUUGAUUAUGACAAUGCAAUUAAGCUGACAAACACCACCUAAAGAUCAGCUUUGGACUACAAACUGCUCAGGACAAUUUCAAGAUGGCUAGCUGAGAUGAUCCAGCCUCACAGAUCACUUGAGCAAGGACUUGAGACAAGCUCUGCACUUUCCCAUUAUGCAGAGACUGGACAACAAAUGAUACAGCUACCUCUCCCAGGACUUGACAACCAAAAAACUUCCUAUUCAGGAUUCCCUGAAGAUGCCUUUGCCCCCAGACAGCAGGAAGUAAUUUUAAGAACAUGUCGCCCACAUUCCCAAGAGGUGGAGUGGGUGAUUUUGGUCAUUCAAUGGGUUAUGGAUAAUUGUCAUUGUUUAGGAUGGUUGGUUACAAGUUGUUAAUUGAUAAUGGUCAGUAAAAAAGCUAAAUAAAGGAGAUUAGAUUCAGGGUUCUUGUUUGAAAAAGGAAAAAGAAAAAAAGAGGAUAUAGAUAAAAGGUAGAUUAUUAAAUCCACUCUGAAAAAAUAAGAAAUGAUAGGAUAAAAGGGAAGCUUAUUGAAUCUACUCCGAAAAGAAAAAAAAAGAGAAUAUGGAUAUGAUAAGAUAAAAAAGGUAGAUUAUUAAAUCAACUUUUAAAAAGCAACUACUAGUUUUAAAUAUUUUACAUUGGGUUGGAUUUUUGUAUAUUGUAUACAAAUUUUGUAUAUUGAUACAAAUUUGAGAUUGAUUUUGUUAGAAAAUACUGUACAUUUCUACUCUUGUUCAAGAUAUUGUAACUAUACAGCUCAUUUAACAAUGUAAUACAAUUUUCUAGUCCUUGAAAGUUAUUACCAACUAUUUAGGAUAAUAAAGAAAUGCAAGUUAGUAGUUAGUUGUAGCUUGAGUUUUUCUGCCUGGCCCACAGUCAGGACAAAUCUCUCUCACCUGCCAGUCCCACAGCAGUUCAGACCCAACCAAGUAAACACAGAGACUUACAUUAGUUACAAACUGUAUGGCCGUGGCAGGCUUCUUGCUAACUGUUCUUACAGCUUAAAUUAAUCCAUUUUUAUAAAUCUAUACCUUGCCACGUGGCUCGUGGCUUACCAGCAUCUUCACAUGCUGUUUCUCAUCGUGGCAGCUGGCAGUGUCUCUCUGACUCAGCCUUUCACUUCCCAGCUUUAUUCUCCUCCUUGUCCCGCCUAUACUUCCUCCUGCCUGACUACUGGCCAAUCAGUGUUUUAUUUACCAACCAAUCAGAGCAACACAUUUGCCAUACAGAACAUCCCACAGCAGUUAGUCAUUACAAUCAAACUUAGGUAUGUUUUCAAGGUCAAACAAAAAUAUAUUUUAGAUAUACAGAUCUUCAAACACUUUAGAUAUCUGCAGAAUAUGGUAUUUAAGAUGUUUUAAUACAUAGAUUUUUUUUCUUUUUUAUGACAAUGAGACAUGUCUGCUCCUGGCAGCACCAAUCAACUUCAGAGAAGAUGAUGGGCAUUAAAGAAACUCCAUAUGGAGUUUACUUUCUUUGUGACAAGUUAGCCACCUGGUAAAAAAAAAAAAAAAAAAUGCCCUUGCCUUGACUGCUGACAGUAUGCUGUUCAAAAUGGACAAGCAGGACACAAAAGAAAGGACUGCCGAACUUUGCCAAGACAAAGUAGGAAGACCCUUCAGAAAAUCCUGCUUCACAGAUGAGUCUUUCAGAUAUGCUAGGUCUGUAGGCUGAAGAUGGAUGCCCCAGUGUUGCAGAGAGAUCUUGGGUGACUGUCCAGGCAGCCAGCUGUUUCUGUAAUUUCUCACAUUUUUUGGAAGUUGCUUGUUUACACUUCCUACUUACUUAGGUAAUAUUAUUUCCUUUUUGGGUCUCUAAUGGAGUUGAAGAUUAGAUAGUUAUAGUUUUCCUUGCUAACAAAUUCAGAAAAGAAACUCACUAAAGAGGUGUAAAGUGUAUAAGUUUGAAAGACAUCAAAAGAUAGUUUUGGGUUGGUAAUACAAGUUAGGAUAGAAAGUGAAUUAGGUAUAUAACAUUUUGGACUCACCAAAAUAGAACAAAUAAUGGAGUAUUUUCUCUGAAUCUGUCAAAUGUUAAUGGACUGGACAUUGUUAAUAUAAUUCUUGACUAUAUAUAUUGCAUAUACUUAUUGUACUUAUAUAUAGUUUUUCUUAUAUUAGUUAUAACCUUUUAUUAUUUUAGACAAAAAAGGGGGAAAUAUGGUGAUAUAUUGCAUACUCUAAUAAACUUGCCUGAGGAUCAGAGGACAGAGCCAGCCACUAGAUUAGACUUAGAGGUCAGGCAGUGAUGGCACACACCUUUAAUCCCAGCACUUGAGAUCUCAUGCCUUUGCUUAUGAAGCACACAUGCCUUUAAUCCCAGGAAGUAAUAUGGCAAGGCAGAGAAAGGUAUAUAAAUGGUGAGGAAACAGGAACUCUCUCUAUUUAGCCUGAGGAUUUUGUAGAGGGAAGAACUAGUAUCUGGCUGCUCUGUUUCUCUGAUCUUUUGGCUUUCACACUGA